rnacentral:rRNA from 1 species
UACGUAGGGACCAAGCGUUGUCCGGAAUCAUUGGGCGUAAAGAGCGUGUAGGCGGCUUGUUAAGUCUUGCGUGAAAUCUCGGGGCUCAACCCCGAGCGGUCGUGAGAAACUGGCAGGCUAGAGUGCGGGAGAGGAGAGUGGAAUUCCUGGUGUAGCGGUGAAAUGCGCAGAGAUCAGGAGGAAAACCGAUGGCGAAAGCAGGUACCUGGACCAUUACUGACGCUCAGCUGCGAAAGCUAGGGGAGCAAACAGG